GUGUCAGCCGCCGCGGUAAUACGUAGGUGGCGAGCGUUGUCCGGAUUUACUGGGCGUAAAGGAUGCGUAGGUGGAAAUUUAAGUGGGAUGUGAAAUCCCCGGGCUCAACCCGGGAACUGCAUUCCAAACUGGGUUUCUUGAGUGCAGGAGAGGAAAGCGGAAUUCCUAGUGUAGCGGUGAAAUGCGUAGAUAUUAGGAAGAACACCAGUGGCGAAGGCGGCUUUCUGGACUGUAACUGACACUGAGGCAUGAAAGCGUGGGUAGCAAACAGGAUUAGAAACCCCCGUAGUCC
rnacentral:rRNA from 1 species